rnacentral:rRNA from 3 species
GAUUGAACGCUGGCGGCAGGCCUAACACAUGCAAGUCGAACGGUAACAGGAAGCAGCUUGCUGCUUUGCUGACGAGUGGCGGACGGGUGAGUAAUGUCUGGGAAACUGCCUGAUGGAGGGGGAUAACUACUGGAAACGGUGGCUAAUACCGCAUAACGUCGCAAGACCAAAGAGGGGGACCUUCGGGCCUCUUGCCAUCAGAUGUGCCCAGAUGGGAUUAGCUUGUUGGUGAGGUAACGGCUCACCAAGGCGACGAUCCCUAGCUGGUCUGAGAGGAUGACCAGCCACACUGGAACUGAGACACGGUCCAGACUCCUACGGGAGGCAGCAGUGGGGAAUAUUGCACAAUGGGCGCAAGCCUGAUGCAGCCAUGCCGCGUGUAUGAAGAAGGCCUUCGGGUUGUAAAGUACUUUCAGCGGGGAGGAAGGUGUUGYGGUUAAUAACCGCAGCAAUUGACGUUACCCGCAGAAGAAGCACCGGCUAACUCCG